rnacentral:rRNA from 1 species
GACGAACGCUGGCGGCGUGCUUAACACAUGCGAGUCGAACGGAAAGGCCCUGCUUUUGUGGGGUGCUCGAGUGGCGAACGGGUGAGUAACACGUGAGUAACCUGCCCUUGACUUUGGGAUAACUUCAGGAAACUGGGGCUACUACCGGAUAGGAGCUCCUGCUGCAUGGUGGGGGUUGGAAAGUUUCGGCGGUUGGGGAUGGACUCGCGGCUUAUCAGCUGGUUGGUGGGGGAGUGGCUUACCAAGGCUUUGACGGGUAGCCGGCCUGGGAGGGUGACCGGCCACAAUGGUCCUGCGGUACGGCCCAGACGCCUACGGGGGGCAGCGGUGGGGAAUAUUGCACAAUGGGCGGAAGCCUGAUGCAGCAGCGCCGCGUGCGGGAUGACGGCCUUCGGGUUGUAAACCGCUUUCGCCUGUGACGAAGCGUGGGUGACGGUAAUGGGUGAAGAAGCACCGGCUAACUACGUG